CCUCGCUUUGAUCAAUAUAAGUGUUUGUUCAGUAUAGCCUCCCUGUCAGCACACACACACCGCUCUGCCGCUCCGGAGAAGACUAAAUGUUACUGUUGAACAACCAGUGUGUUUUAGUCUCUCUGUGACCACUCUGUCAUAAUGACAUGAGGGAGCUGGAGGCGCCUGCGUGACGGCUGGACAGUUCAAAGCUGACGGACAAAGGCCAGCCAACUGACUCACAUUAGCUGACUAACAAUGCCACAAUCCCUCUCUGUUUUUAUCCAGAAUAUUCCACAUCAGAGAGAUAUUGUUUGCAGUUACAUUGAUACCCCGUUGCGUGAAAGAGGGUAAUCCACCUAAUCCGACACAAGUUUUUCCUCCGUCUCAAUCCGGCGUAGGAUCCCUCACAUUAAAGGACGUAUCAGCCCAUUCCCCGUGGCCUGCUCAAUGUCUUGGAGGUCACUCAAUUCCAACUCAUGACGGAGAUGAGACACCCCAGGAGGACGUUGGAGAAACCAUCAAGGCUUCAGUAGAAGGGGAUUAAUAAGAAUCGCACCCAAGAUCUCGAAAACCGGUCUAAUCCGUCCGCGCCUUGCAUCAUCCUAUAAAAUUCCUAUCACAUAGCCGCGUAGUUGAUUGGCCGGCUUCUUUUUGUCUUUUUUUUUUUUUUUUUGCUUCUUCUCCUCUUGCCCGUUUGAAGUCUGCCAGGCUGCUUGCGCCUACCUUUCCCCCCACACAGAGGUUAAUUAGAUGUGAGCAGUGGCCUCGGCGAAAGAACAGAUCCCGGUAAACGACUCUGGGAGUCAGACGGCCGCGGCGCUGAUGGUAGGAGACAAGACCACGGACAAGAGUGUGAACAAUAACCCGAGACCUGCUCAGCUGCCAGGACCAUCAUAUCCCCUCUUCUGUCAACGGAAAGGACAAAGACCUCAUAUUUCAGGAUAACACGAUGAAGGAAUCAGCCGUGUUCAAAGUGGAUCAGAAGCAGAGAACCGUCACUGGCUUGAAAUGAAGCUCCGUCUCCAUGGGCUGACUGCAUGACGUCGCCUGAAGUCGAUUAUCAAACACGCAGUCACUGGUCACUUCCCAGACAGCGGCUGUUUUGCUGCAUUGUGGAAUCACUGUGGAGCUUUUGACUAACGGCUGGAGAGGCCAAUCUCGAUACAGUCGUUCCAAUAAAUCUAUCUUUAAGCUUCCAGAACAUUCCAAAUAUACCAGUGCCUGUGGAGUAUUGAUUGAUUAUAUUUGGAAUGACUCUCA